UCUCACCUUCUGAGAUGGGCCACACUCUGUCUGUGGAGUGUGUUUCUCUCUGAAUAAAUCCACUUCUUACCUAUCACUUUGUCUCCCACUGAAUUCUUUGUAUGAAGCAAGACAUCAAGAACCUCAAAUUCACUGGGAACACAAAAGCGCCUCAGGUGCAGGACAAAGACCUACUGGGACUGAGGACUGAGGAAGGGGCUGGGACCCGGGGCCUGGGGCCAGCACCCCACAGAGCAGGAUGACGCGUUCCAGAACCAGCUGCAGCGCUCCAGGGGACCCUCCCAGAACCUGAGCUGAGUGACGCUCCUGGUGAACCUGACAGGUUGGCAAUAUUCUUUUCAGUCCGAUCCUCUUCCAUGAUGCUGGGAGUGGCAGCCGCAGCUCCCUGUCAGCCUUGUGAUCACAAGGGUCAACAACCAUUCUGCACCCAGACAGCCAUUCUGCUUUGCACCGUCAGUACAGUAUUCAGUACAUUAUAUGAGGUUUCUCUCCAACACUGUUUGAUACCAGCCCCACGCCAGCCAUUGUUUUCCCAGAUGAGGGCGGACACCAGCCUGAGGCUAAACCUCUGAACUGAAUCAAGUCCCCCCACCGAAGUCAAAACGAAAGCUGCCAAAGAUACACCAAGACAGGCACCGGGCAAACCCGCGGACUCACAGGAAACCAGGCUGCGCCUGCUGGGCUUGCCCGUCGCGCCCGCAGAAAUCCCAGUGCUCAGAGCUGGAAGGACAUCAGCCGGCAUCUUGAUGAACAUCCUCCUUUCGCCCUUGAGGCCAGGUUCUGGAGCUGCCAGCGACUCACCGAGGCUGCCCGGGGCCCAGUAGGCCUUUUAGAGAAAGAAAGAAAACCGGUGCUCAGCACAAACCAGCCCCAAGCAGCUUUGGAUGUGAGGAGCCUGACGAGCCUCGAGGACAGGUGAUGAGAAAUGCUUAGGAGGAUGGCCAAGAAGGAUUUGUAACGUCCGGAGUCAGACAGGUCUGCAGCCCUGCUGGCCUGGCCGCUCUCCACGGAGGAAGCCCCUGGCUGUGAGGGCAGCAAACUGCAGGCUGGCCAGGCCCUCUCUUGCCACCUCCAUGCCCUUUGAUGAGGGCUGGGUUAGUGCAAACAAGGUGUGUGAGCUUUUCACCCCAGCCAGGUGUGGACAUGAGCUGUGGGCUCCUGUGAGAGGUACUCAGGGUGCAGAGAUGGGCCUUUCAGCUGAGGUUCUGCACCUUCAAUCCACAGGCCCCAAGAGCAGACUUGCAAAUUCUUCCAGCCUUUAAACACCAUUCCUGCCCCAGCCGCAGGCAGGAAGCACCCUCUACCACGAGCACCACGUCCCCAGGAUCGAUGUUCAGUGCUGGGACCUGUCUGGCCACAGGGGCCACAGCUCCGUGUCUGUGGGUCACUCUGGAGCUGAGUGUCCUCCCGUCCCCGAGCCCAGCGGAGCCAGAGUCGGGGGCUGGAUGGAAGAGAAGCGCGCCCAGAGCCUCGACAUGAGCCCCUGAGAGCCUCUCCUGGGACACAGCAGCGUGAGAAGAAGGAAGCUCAUCAGCUCAAACCAGCGAGGGCGGACUGAGCACCAGCUCCCGUCCCAGGAGUAACAUGGACUGUGAUGCGGGGGGCUGAGAGGAGCAGGCCGUGCCCCGGACGUCUCAGGAGCUGACAGUCUGGUGCCCCGUGAGACAGCCCCCUCUCAGGAGAGCCACCAUGAAGCUCUGCGCACGAGAGUCAAGUGCCCCAAACUUGGAACUUGGGAGGUGGAAGCAGCUGAUUGUCUGGAGCAGGAGGCCACUGUCGGUCAGGGACCAGGGACGACCUCAGGGGGGACCCGUCUGGAGCCGGAGCUUUGGGGUAGGGUCAAGGGGGCGCCGCGGAGGCCGUGAGCAUGUUGCUUUGGGCCCGUGCCGCGGAGACAGACGUCACACUGGCCCUGGUGCUCCCCGCACGUUGGCAGGGAAAUGCGUGUUUUAUUUUACAGAACUCAAAAUCGCCCAAGUGGAAACGCUCUGUGCCUUGUUUUAAACUCAAGAAAGCACCGGAAAGGUUUGUUUUGACCGAAUGGAAACAACACUCCCAUGGAUAAGCACUUUCUGACACACACAAAACAAAUGAAAAGCUCGUGCCCACUUUCCUGACUUUCUCCCCCAGCGAUGUCCCCAGUCACACAUGUCAUAAGGGGCUUGGGACCAGAUUCAGACUCUUCCUACAAAAGUGCACAACACCCAGUCCCUCGCCCCACUCCCCCGACGCCAGAGGCGGCUGGGCCAGUAACUUGGAGUCAGUGCGUCCUCCCCAUGUUUUCUGACUUUCUCAGGAGAACCUUGGCAUUUUUGUAAACGUUAGCGCCAAGCUUUUAGAAAUUUUGGGUUUUUUUUUUUUGAGGGGGGGAGUAUUUUUACUCUUUCCAACAACUUGCCACCCCAAUUUGGAAACCUUGUCUAAAUUGUGGAUCUGGUACUCAGCCAAUGAUUCUUUUGGUUGUGACUGCAUUUGCUGUGAAAAUAUUCUUUUCCUGGAAGAAACCGCACACCCUUCAGAGGCCAAGGACGCAGUGGCGUUUGUUAGGAUACAUCAGAGGUCGGUUCACCGUAAAGCUAAUGAGUGCAAGCUCCAGGGCUCCUCACUUACCAUCCAAGACCUUGUACCUAAUUUUACAUCUAUUGUUUUGUAUUCUUUUUCUUAAAGAACCCACACCCGUCCAAAUUGUAUAAGCUUUGAGCCCCCAACCCUGGACCCCCUACCCCCAGAUGCAGUCUUAAAGCCCACGACCUAUUAGACCUCAUU